rnacentral:tRNA from 1 species
GGGCGAAUAGCUCAGCUGGUUAGAGCGCCGGUCUCACAUACCGGAGGUCAGAGGUUCAAAUCCUCUUUCGCCCACCA